rnacentral:rRNA from 1 species
UACGUAGGGUGCGAGCGUUAAUCGGAAUUACUGGGCGUAAAGCGUGCGCAGGCGGUUCGUUGUGUCGGUGGUGAAAUCCCCGGGCUUAACCUGGGAAUGGCCAUGGAAACUGGCGAACUGGAGUGUGGCAGAGGGGGGUGGAAUUCCGCGUGUAGCAGUGAAAUGCGUAGAUAUGCGGAGGAACACCGAUGGCGAAGGCAAUCCCCUGGGCCUGCACUGACGCUCAUGCACGAAAGCGUGGGGAGCAAACAGG